AAAUUGAAGAGUUUGAUCAUGGCUCAGAUUGAACGCUGGCGGCAGGCCUAACACAUGCAAGUCGAACGGUAACAGGAAACAGCUUGCUGUUUCGCUGACGAGUGGCGGACGGGUGAGUAAUGUCUGGGAAACUGCCUGAUGGAGGGGGAUAACUACUGGAAACGGUAGCUAAUACCGCAUAACGUCGCAAGACCAAAGAGGGGGACCUUCGGGCCUCUUGCCAUCGGAUGUGCCCAGAUGGGAUUAUCUAGUAGGUGGGGUAACGGCUCACCUAGGCGACGAUCCCUAGCUGGUCUGAGAGGAUGACCAGCCACACUGGAACUGAGACACGGUCCAGACUCCUACGGGAGGCAGCAGUGGGGAAUAUUGCACAAUGGGCGCAAGCCUGAUGCAGCCAUGCCGCGUGUAUGAAGAAGGCCUUCGGGUUGUAAAGUACUUUCAGCGGGGAGGAAGGGAGUAAAGUUAAUACCUUUGCUCAUUGACGUUACCCGCAGAAGAAGCACCGGCUAACUCCGUGCCAGCAGCCGCGGUAAUACGGAGGGUGCAAGCGUUAAUCGGAAUUACUGGGCGUAAAGCGCACGCAGGCGGUUUGUUAAGUCAGAUGUGAAAUCCCCGGGCUCAACCUGGGAACUGCAUCUGAUACUGGCAAGCUUGAGUCUCGUAGAGGGGGGUAGAAUUCCAGGUGUAGCGGUGAAAUGCGUAGAGAUCUGGAGGAAUACCGGUGGCGAAGGCGGCCCCCUGGACGAAGACUGACGCUCAGGUGCGAAAGCGUGGGGAGCAAACAGGAUUAGAUACCCUGGUAGUCCACGCCGUAAACGAUGUCGACUUGGAGGUUGUGCCCUUGAGGCGUGGCUUCCGGAGCUAACGCGUUAAGUCGACCGCCUGGGGAGUACGGCCGCAAGGUUAAAACUCAAAUGAAUUGACGGGGGCCCGCACAAGCGGUGGAGCAUGUGGUUUAAUUCGAUGCAACGCGAAGAACCUUACCUGGUCUUGACAUCCACAGAACUUUCCAGAGAUGGAUUGGUGCCUUCGGGAACUGUGAGACAGGUGCUGCAUGGCUGUCGUCAGCUCGUGUUGUGAAAUGUUGGGUUAAGUCCCGCAACGAGCGCAACCCUUAUCCUUUGUUGCCAGCGGUCCGGCCGGGAACUCAAAGGAGACUGCCAGUGAUAAACUGGAGGAAGGUGGGGAUGACGUCAAGUCAUCAUGGCCCUUACGACCAGGGCUACACACGUGCUACAAUGGCGCAUACAAAGAGAAGCGACCUCGCGAGAGCAAGCGGACCUCAUAAAGUGCGUCGUAGUCCGGAUUGGAGUCUGCAACUCGACUCCAUGAAGUCGGAAUCGCUAGUAAUCGUGGAUCAGAAUGCCACGGUGAAUACGUUCCCGGGCCUUGUACACACCGCCCGUCACACCAUGGGAGUGGGUUGCAAAAGAAGUAGGUAGCUUAACCUUCGGGAGGGCGCUUACCACUUUGUGAUUCAUGACUGGGGUGAAGUCGUAACAAGGUAACCGUAGGGGAACCUGCGGUUGGAUCACCUCCUUA
rnacentral:rRNA from 1 species